UUUAAAUUUUUUAAGGCAAGUGUAAUUUUAAAAUUCUUUUAAGACCCUGAGUUGUAAAGUAUGUCUCCUGACCUUUUUGUUGCUUGGUUUAACCAUGGUUGAAGCAUUUACUUGUGUGUAAUAAGGUUAGAACAUCCCCUUUUUGAGAUGUUAUUUUGUUUUCUGUUAUAUGGUUCUGAAAUCCGUUGUUGUUCUCACCGUCGAGAUUGCGCUUCUUUCAAACGAUGCCCGAACAGCCCAGCGUUGGAAUCCAUUGUAGUUGUUGGUGUCUUAGCAAAUCCUACUUUCCAUUUUGGUCAAAGACUAUGGAGGCGCUCCGAUGAAGCACUAUAUGGUGAAGUCAAAAAAAGAAGAUUUCAAAUGCUUUAGAGGAAAAUUGAUGCAAAAACUCAAAGAAAAUUCCUUGAAGAAAAGUUUGAAGAAGUGAACAGCUCGCUUAACACACGAGACAAGCCCAGUGCGUGUGCUCACUCAGCAGCCAGCUCAUGCUUAGCACGAAGAAGGCCCACAAGAAAGCCCAAGGGUGCGCUUAGCGUGAACACCGCACUAAGCACGUGAUUAAACCAUCAUUCUCCGUAAGUUCAGGGGGGCGCACUCAGCUAGAAGUUGGCAUGAAAAUUAAGUUACCUCAGGCCUAUAAAAGGAGUAGGAAGUAGAAGGGAAACACAUGCCGAUUCUUAGAGCUCUCCAAUGAAGAAAUCCAAAGCCUGAGCACCCCUAAUAGGGGAAAUCCUCAUUCUUUAGUCAUUCUUCCCUUUCUUUCUUCUAGUCAUCUAGCCCCUUCUUCUGUCCACAUUAACCCCCGAAGUGUAAAGUCUCUCAUGGCUAUCCCUUUGUUGGGAGCCUGGCAGACCAAACUCUUGUGAUGCAACUAUUUUUCAUUAUCUAUUUAAUGCAAUCUUGUUUCUAUU